CACGUUAUGGUGGGCACUCUAAGGAGACUGCCGGUGCAAACCGGAGGAAGUGGGGAUGACGUCAAGUCAUCAUGGCCCUUACGGCCUGGGCUACACACGUGCUACAAUGGUCGGUACAAAGGGUUGCCAAGCCGCGAGGUGGAGCUAAUCCCAUAAAACCGAUCGUAGUCCGGAUCGCAGUCUGCAACUCGACUGCGUGAAGUCGGAAUCGCUAGUAAUCGUGAAUCAGAAUGUCACGGUGGAUACGUUCCCGGGCCUU
rnacentral:rRNA from 1 species